AUCUGAACAGUGCAGCUUUGGAUUUCUAAAACCAAGUGACUAGCUGCAUGAAGAUGGAGCCAUCAACACCUCACCUCGUCUGCACCGUGGAUCUAUAGUUUCUGCCUCAGAACUUGUCUGCUGCUAUGUGCAGCUUGUCUGCUGGCAUUAGCCCACUCAGCCAUUCUAAUGUGUGCACAUCUGAAAUUGCAGGGGAUUCAACAUCCUUGGAACAACCAUCAAUCAGGGAAUGAGAAUUAGUGGAUAAAUAUUCCUCUCUUUCAUGUCAAAGGUGGACCAUUCUGAGGCACAUUCUACACUCUUCAUCAGUGGGACUGAGCCCCAGUUACUCAGUGAUAAAUAGCUCAUUAAUAGCUUUCCUUUCUUACCUCUUACACUUUUAGACUUAUCUUAGUUUUCUGGAAUAACUUUCCAAAAUAAACUAUAUGCAUACAAACCUUGGGUUUAGCCUCGGCUUUAUGAAGUAGCCUAAGGUUAACACUUAUGUUCGUUUGAUGUAUGAUCCAUGUGCAAGUGCAAUGCACUGAGGAAGUAAAUGGAACCAUGUUGGCAAAGGUCAUCAAGAGGACAUGACUGCCAGUUGACUCAAGAGCUAGACCUGGACAAUUGGAGACUCCCCAUCCCCUCCUCUAUUCUUGGAAUGUACAUGCUGCUCACCAUUCCCACAGAGGGAGAGCCAUUUUCAAGGACACAGCCUUGAGAGAGCACUGUGUUCUUGAGACCAUCUUGACGGUGUACAUGACUGGUCCAAGUUAAGGCCUCUGUAUAAACUUUGAGGAUUCUGGCAGACAGAUGCAGAGACGUACUCAUCUUGCAGUCACUCAAAACAAGCCUUGUAGCUUUCGUGGUGACUGUUUGCACUGUGACUUCAAUUCUCUGAUGGAUUUAAGAAAAGUCAUUGAAUUUCAGUUUGUUCAACUUUUUCUUUGCUGUGAGGAUGGAAGUCACGACCUUCUACAGCUUUUUACAGUGUUGGAGUUGAAACCAGAUGUCCUUUCCUCUGCUUUUUAUUUGAAAGUUAUUCUUUUCCAUGGGACCAGGACCUGUACCCCUCUCGAUUUCAUUAAUUUUAAUUGUGAUAAUUUGUAAUUAUUAUUAUAAACAAGUGUAAAUUUUCUGAGAGUUGUAUACUGUUAUUGUGUUUCGUAGUAUAUUACUCUAGCUCUGGAUUUAGAUGAGAAUUGAAACCAUGGUGACCUUAGUUACACUAUUUACAUUACCAUACAAAUAGCAUUGUGUGUGUCUCAAACAAAAUAAGUGAGUAAAUUUCAGAAAUGAGUUUUACACAGUAGGCUCUUUUACCUUUAGGAAUGUGUCUAUAAUUUAGAUAUGUGGAAUUUUAUAUAUUUGACAGUGAUUUCAUGAAUUGGUCAUUCCUAAUUUUGUAAGUACAUUAAAGGUUAUGUCUUUUGAAAAUUCCAAAUUCACCAUAGCAUUUGGUAUACUCUGAGAAUGUUGUUUUGAUAAGUAUUAUACAUGUAAAACUUCUGUAGUGACCAAAAGCUUAUGUAGGACCACAGAAAAAGGAAAGAAUGUGUUCCAAAAAACCCUAGGUCAGUAAAAUACUAGUCAGUGUUUGCGAAAGUAAGUUUAUGGGAAAAUAAAUUUGAAAAAUACUUAUUUGAUUUAUACAGACAUGUUUACCACAGAACUUCUUUGAGCCUCAUUAAGCACACGUACCCUCUGAAUCUCUAAGAAGAAGAAUCUUUUUUCAGUGGAAUUACUAUUAAAGAGUGCUUCAGAUAACACAGAUGGGCAAAUACUGCACCAGAUCAUCCUUUUCAGAUAGAAUAUGUUAAGAUUCAUUACUUACUUUUAUUUGGCAGAAAGUCUUUCUUCUUAGUCGGUGACUGGCUCCCUGCAAUGAUGAACAACUACAUUGCUAUGGCAACAUAGCAAACAAGGUUCUUCCAAUCAGAGAUGCUUCUUUUCAUGUAGAAGAACUUGUCACCAGGUUUCUCAAACUAAGUUUUUAUGAAGUAGAAAAUGUGAUUAGAAAAUAUAUCUGAAAAAAAAGUCUUUAAUUUUGUUAAACAAAAGUAUAUUAGUUUGAAAACUCUGCCUUGUGGGCAGAAUGGAUUAUUAAAAUUGUGCAAGUUAUUCAUCACCAUAAUUUUACUUAAUAAUAAAAGAUUUUAGGUAUGCUGUUUGCAAAUAAUUUAGAAAAAUUCUU
rnacentral:lncRNA from 1 species